rnacentral:lncRNA from 1 species
UUUUUUUUUUUGAGAGAGAUAGGUAGUACGUUACCCGCUUCGUUUAUUUCAUUUCGAAAUAAACUUAGCUAGAAAUAUGAAUCAACUAGGAUUCGAACUUGGGUUUCGGGUACCAACCACCAAGCCGAUCGAGAAGUGGUUUCAUUCUUAAUCGACAAUAUAAAUCAGGAAUUAAAGAAAUACUUCUGAAUAAGAGCAAAAGUAGCAAAUUAAUUCGAACACUUAACGAUGAAUUACUAGUGAAGUUACCCACGCAUUGCGGCGGAAUGAUACUAUCGGAGAGGCAAAUUCCGAUCUUUACAUCACCUUCAUUGCUAGUGAAAAAAAAAAGUAUGAGAAAAUUUUAUUUUACUCAUUUAUUCUUUUAAAAGCAAUCGAGAGGUGGAAGUUAGGAAGAUGAAGCAUUGGAUAAAGAUGAAACUAUAUAAACACAUUAAUUGAGAGAUGGGGGUUCGAAAAAUGAAGCAUUGGGUGGAGAUGGAAUCAUGUAAACACAUUAAUUGAGAGAUGAGGGUUGGAAAGAUGAAGCAUUGAAGAUGAGACUAUAUAAAUAUAUUAAUUGAGAGGUGGAGGUUAGAAAGAUAAAAUAUUGGGUGGAGAUGGAAGUGGAAAGAGGGAAGCCAACGGUGAAGGAGGAUUUGCCACGUGACAAAAAUUUAGGAGAAAUAAUGUAUAGGUAUAGAAAAUGAGAUCUAUAUAAAUACAUUAAUUGAGAGGUGGAGAUUAGAAAGAUAAAAUAUUGGGUGGAGAUGGUAGUGGAAAGAGGAAAGCCAACAGUAAAGGAGGAUUUGCCACGUGGUAAAAAUUUAGGAGAAGUAAUGUAUAGAUAUAGAUAUAGAUAUAGAUAUAGAUAUAGAUGUUACUCCAAUCAAGUGAUUAUAUAUAGCUUAUAAAUU